rnacentral:misc_RNA from 1 species
CAGAGUUCAUGCCCUAACGGGUAGACCUCCCACCCUUUGUUAUACAUACCUUUGUUGCUUUGGCAGGCCGCCUUCGGGCUAUCGGCUUCGGCUGGUGCGUGCCUGCCAGAGGACCCCAAACUCUGAAUUUUAAUGUCGUCUGAGUACUAUAUAAUAGUUA